GAUAUGCUCCUCUCUUUAUUUGUCAAAAUCUAAUAUAUUUUUGAGGGAAGUAAAUUAGAUUAAUCUGGUCAGGCCAUCUGCUUUAUUUGUAUUACCUAGAGGCCAGAGUAGUUGAAAAACAUGAUUAAUAAACAAAAUGAAACUGAGGUUGUGACAUAAGGAAGUUCAUGUGACCCAAGAGGCUGGGAAGGAGGAAAUUCACUGCUAGAAUACACUGUGAAAGGAUAUGAUAAUCCUGGUUCAAAAGAAACAGAACUGUUACUAAGAAGGGUAGAGAAGAGCAGUAUGGUGAAGAUAAAUUCCUUCAUGAAAGUCUGUAGAAUUGUGGAGCGUAUGUAUGUGAGGCUAAAAGGAGAUUAGAAACAAAAUUAGGCAGUAUCUCGCGGUGGUUACCAGGCUGAACUUUAAAGCUGAUUGCCUGAGCUCCUAUCUUGAACUUGUCACUUAUACCUCUGGAACCCUGGACAACUUAUUUAAUCUCUUUUUCCUUCGAAUUCCUCGUCUGUAGAAUGUGAGUGAUACCUACCUCAUAGGGUUAUUGUGAGAAUCAAAUAAAAUUAAAUACUAAAUCUCCAGACAUAAAGAAGGUGCUCACUAAACAUGAACUAUUAUCACUGUAUAAGAGUAUUAGAGAGGACUUGACCAGCGAAAGUGAAUAGAUAAUAGUCACCUGGUGCCAAUGACAAAGUUGGACUUUAGGUGCACAUUUAACUGAAAAUCUAAUUUCUUGAAAGCUGAGCAUUUGAUAAGAUCUUGUUUUAUCUCACUGAUUAUUUUCAUCCAGGAAAAGGCGGAGAAAGUUAUUAGGGAAAUUGGUACUGUUGGCCUAUACAUUUUCAUAUUGUCUGGAGGAAAAACAAUACAGAGCAAUGUACCAAAAGAAACCAGUGUAACUUCCCAGGAAAGAACUGAUGAGAUCAGUUUUAAAUUGGUGAGACACAAGAAGAAAGGCUAUCUACUUGAAUAUUACAGUGAUACUGACUGUCAGAAUAACGUCAAAGGCUGGCGUGCAGUGGUGUGAUCUCAGCUCGCUGAAACCUUGGCCUCUCAGGUUCAAGCAAUAAUUACAAUCUUUAUUCAGAGAAAGUCUUACUCUCUGUGAUCAACAAACUGCCGAUGAGACUGGAAGUCUUGAAACAAAUCUUGUUCUACAUAAUAUAAGUGGCUGGAAAUUUGGAUUAAGUUGCAGAUAUGGAGCACUUUUUCAUGCAGAACCUGUACGAUGAUCCUGGUGAGGAUGCCCCAAUACAAUCCAAACAGGCUCUUAAAUAAAAGAGCCUGACUUUUAAUGUCGAAAUUCUUGCAUUGUAUUAAAAUGCACACACUAUUCUUAAUAUAUUACCCUUAUGUCAAAAAG
rnacentral:lncRNA from 1 species